UACCUGCCAUGCAUAGUAUCCUCCGCACUAAAGAGCAAAUUACGACAACAUUCACCUGUUGUGAGCUGUUCAGAAGUGCUGCAAUCUUGUUUGUAUAAUUGCAGGUAUUCAGCAGAAAGAAAAUUGGAGUGGUUACCUUGACUUCUGCAGCAGGAUUCAGCAGUCGAUGAUGCUCAGCUUUCAGCUUGUUGAAGCGAUCGAUAACUGAUUUCAUGCUGAUCUGUAAACCCGUUUUUUCUAUGCAGACAAUGCUGCAGGAGGGGCAAAUGUUUAGCAACUUGAGCUAUAAGUUCCUUUAUGUAUUAAGGAAUCUGGCAAUACUUUUUCAGUGUUACAUAUUUUGGUUCGUUUCAAUUGCUGAAAUGAUAAUAUUUGUUUAGUGAUAUUUUUCUUCCCGCCAAUAAAAGAGGCCCUACGUUAGAAUCCCCCUCCAUUAUUUGAUUAAAAAGAAAGAGAAGUCAUCCUAUGUCAAAUCUGAGGUGAUUGCCAAA